rnacentral:rRNA from 1 species
UACGUAGGUGGCAAGCGUUAUCCGGAAUUAUUGGGCGUAAAGCGCGUGUAGGCGGCUUUGCAAGUCGGGUGUGAAAGCCCUCAGCUUAACUGAGGAAGUGCGCCCGAAACUGCAGAGCUUGAGUACCGGAGAGGGUGGCGGAAUUCCCCAAGUAGAGGUGAAAUUCGUAGAUAUGGGGAGGAACACCGGUGGCGAAGGCGGCCACCUGGACGGAUACUGACGCUGAGACGCGAAAGCGUGGGUAGCAAACAGG